rnacentral:ribozyme from 1 species
UGCCCAGCAACUCCUAUCCCUACCUCCUCGUGGUACUGGCCGGGGUACGAGUAACCUUAGGGAAGAUCGGGUAACCAACCCCAGUGGGAACUCUGGUCGUAUGCUGACAGGGAAGG